rnacentral:rRNA from 1 species
AGAGUUUGAUCAUGGCUCAGAAUGAACGCUGGCGGCGUGCUUAACACAUGCAAGUCGCACGAGAACGUUUCAGCUUGCUGAAACUAGUAAAGUGGCGCACGGGUGAGUAACGCGUAGAUAAUCUACCCUAGUGUACGGGACAACAUCGGGAAACUGGUGCUAAUACCGAAUACGCUUCUUUAGAUGCAAAUUUUUAGAAGGAAAGAUGGCCUCUUCAUGAAAGCUAUUGCACAAGGAUGAGUCUGCGUACCAUUAGCUAGUUGGUGGGGUAAAGGCCUACCAAGGCUUCGAUGGUUAGCGGGUCUGAGAGGAUGAUCCGCCACACUGGCACUGAAACACGGGCCAGACUCCUACGGGAGGCAGCAGUGAGGAAUUUUGCACAAUGGGGGCAACCCUGAUGCAGCGACGCCGCGUGAGUGAUGAAGGCCCUUGGGUCGUAAAACUCUGUCAAUAGGGAAGAAGUGUCAUAUGGUUAAUACCUGUAUGAUUUGACGGUACCUAUAAAGGAAGCACCGGCUAAAUCCGUGCCAGCAGCCGCGGUAAUACGGAUGGUGCGAGCGUUGUUCGGAAUUACUGGGCGUAAAGGGCGCGUAGGCGGCCUGCCAAGUCAGAUGUGAAAGCCCACGGCUCAACCGUGGAAGUGCAUCUGAAACUGGUAGGCUUGAGUACUGGAGAGGAAAGUGGAAUUCCUGGUGUAGAGGUGAAAUUCGUAGAUAUCAGGAGGAAUACCGGUGGCGAAGGNNACUUUCUGGACAGAUACUGACGCUGAGGNGCGAAAGCGUGGGGAGCAAACAGGAUUANANACCCUGGUAGUCCACAGCUGUAAACGAUGUGCACUAGNNGUAGGGGGGUCNNUGACCCUUUC